UCAAAGCCCCCUUCAAAGCCCCCUCCUCCCAAAACCAAAAAUCCCUAAUCUCUUGCCAAGUCAUUCUCUCACAUGCUUAACUUGCCUAACCUCGCUGAGGAGGUUCAGAUUGCUUGCCGUCGACGAAUCAAGUUGAAAAAGGGGGAUUUUGCUUAGGAGAACUCGGCAAUGACUGAAUCAGACAUUGAAGAAACUCUCAAGAGACUUGUGGGGGAACUGAAGAAAUCUCCUGAAGAAGUUUUUGAUGCUCUGAAAAAUCAAACUGUCGAUCUGGUCUUCACUGCUCACCCUACUCAAUCUGUCCGCAGAUCUUUGCUUCAAAAGCACGGAAGGAUUGUCAUUAAAUAGUUUUCAGGAUUCGUAAUUGUUUAACCCAAUUAUACGCCAAAGAUAUCACUCCUGAUGAUAAGCAAGAACUUGAUGAGGCUCUACAGAGGGAGGAACAUCAAUUAUGAGUUGCACCACCCACCAUUGUCAUUAGAUUGAGAAGGGUUAGGUGGACAGAAGUUUGUAGCAGUCACAGAGUCACUUUAGUAGACUAAAACUCAAGAUAAGUAAGAUGCGAAGUUAUAGGUCAAAGCAAUGCAAUUUUGUUCUGCAAAAUCAACAAUUCUAAAAUCACAUAUUUUUUUAUUUAUUUAUUUACAGGUAAGUGCUCAAAAUAGCAACACUGCAUAUUCAUCUUAGACAAUAAAGUUAAUAUAUUAGACAAUAAAGUUUGAGGCCUCAGUUUUUAGGAGUCUUGUAUGUCUUUUAAGCCUUUUAAAUUUUGACAUAGCCUCAGGGUUGUAAGAGAGUUUCUUUUGGUUUGUUAUGUUUUCUUUUGUAUGAUUCCAUGAAGAGAUUUGUUGCCUAAUGCAUUUUUCAUCAUGUGACUCCUGAGGAUGUCUUUUGCAUCAUUGUAUAUCUUUAUUGUUUAGUAUAUUAACCUUCUACUUACGAAAAGAAACAAAAAUAUCAGACAGUUUCAGGACCCGAACUCAGAAGUAGAAACUUUGUAUGCAUAGAUUAAUCUGAAAAUAGGGACUGCAAUAGGAAGUUAGUGGCCUAAUUCAUCAGGAAUUAUAAGACAGAAUGCACCAUGUAUUUUAUCCAGCAAACCAACAGAAGAAUGUCUCUUAAUCCAAAAUGAAACAAAGUCAUUUACCAUAAAGGAAGCACAUCGACUGUAAAGAUUUUGUACACGGGGAGGGAAAAAAAAUUUGAGAGAGAGAGAGAGAGAGCAAAAACCAAAGUAUGUUACAAAAGAAUUUUAGUAUCAUCCUACCUUGUCUACAGUUUUGAUCUCAAGAACAUUCCGUAUUUCAAGGAGUUGCCGUUACACGUUUUCAUUCAAAUUCAGUCAAACACAUCAAAUCAUUUCUACAAAAUUAUUUAUUAUAAGUCAGAAAAUUUAUAGCAAAAGAACAAAACAGUUCACCAGAGUAAUGAUAUUACAAGCAAAGACGCAAUUCAUUCUAUAUCUUAAUAGACAACCAAUUUGAUUACCAAUUAAUAUUCCCUUGCCAAUUUCUCAUACAGUUUAACUACGAACACAAAAAUCAAAUAAACCCAUAAAGAUUUUACAGAAUACGUUGUUUGUGCCAGAUUCAAUUAUAGAAAAUUUUAUCGAUUCAUACAUAUUCCGUGACUGAUUUAUGUGUUCAGAUACUUAUUACUCCCCUAAUAAUCAUACUGAUUCACCCUAAUUAACCAAUUUUAACAAUCUUGUUGAUGAUAAUGAUGAUGAUGAUGAUCAGUACUGAAAGAUAUCAGCAGUAGCCAUGAUGGGUUGUUGAUUAAGAUAUAUCAAGUUCCAAGAAUUGUUCAUGAAACUAUCAGGACUGGUCUCAAAACCUUAAAUCUCACAGAUUUCUUUAUUUUUAAUCAUGCACCCAAAUUUUAUACUGUUACUUCUUGGUAGAAGUAAUGUUUUGUAAUGCAUGUCACUCUCUAACAUGGCUGAUCAAUAUGGAGAUUUAUUUAUUUAUACAUGGAGAGAGAGAUUGAUGGAGAAAAAAAUAAGAUGCUCGCUUACCUGUGUUUGUGUCUUUUUUUUUGGGUGUAUGGAGGUGAUAUGACAAUCAAAUUAGGGAUUAGGUGAGUCCACAACCAUGAGAACUACUCUUUAGUCCAAAUUAAUGAGUUUGCUUCGCAGUUGGUAGUAUAUUGAGACAAAAUGAUAGAAAAAUUUGAAUAAGGAAAAUUUUGUCCCAUAAAAUUAAUUACAAGUACGUGGAAUUAAAUUUUGAUUCAACCCGAGCUCGCGUUCUACAGACAUAUAAAAUGUUGCAUUAUUAUUAUUAUUUUUAUUGCUUUCAUAAUAAUCAUGUUUGCAUUUUUUAUUUCAAAUUUUAUAAUGUUUGAUUAAGAGAGGGUUUUACAAGACAACAACCAUCUGGAUUAAGGUCUACCAGAUUUGCAAUUUUUUUAUUCUAAACAAAAGGGGUAAAAAAUGUGUUGUUUGGUAUACGCUUUUUGAAUCAAAUCAUAUGGGCAAGGAAUCAAGGCAGAUACAAAAUUGUUCUAAAGAAUCAUCAUUUUGGGUAUUUUUGAUUGUGACUUGAGAGACGACCCAAGUAGGAUUUGGUUGUGACUUGACAUUUUCUACAUUAUCUUGGUAUUUGGUUGUGAUUGGAUUUUGAAUUUAUUUUGAAUGUGUUUGUGUGGUAUAAAUUGAAUUGAUGAAGUGUAAGGUUUAUAUAUAAAAUAAAUUUGAGUUA